rfam:Nematostella vectensis strain CH2 x CH6 NEMVEscaffold_278_Cont22109, whole genome shotgun sequence.
ACCAGGAUGGACGAGUGGUUAAGGCGUUGGACUUAAGUUCCAAUGUACGUGGGUUCGAACCACACUCCUGGUA